AAAUAGAUACCCAGGUAGUCCACGCCGUAAACGAUGAGUGCUAAGUGUUAGAGGGUUUCCGCCCUUUAGUGCUGCAGCUAACGCAUUAAGCACUCCGCCUGGGGAGUACGGUCGCAAGACUGAAACUCAAAGGAAUUGACGGGGGCCCGCACAAGCGGUGGAGCAUGUGGUUUAAUUCGAAGCAACGCGAAGAACCUUACCAGGUCUUGACAUCCUCUGACAACUCUAGAGAUAGAGCGUUCCCCUUCGGGGGACAGAGUGACAGGUGGUGCAUGGUUGUCGUCAGCUCGUGUCGUGAGAUGUUGGGUUAAGUCCCGCAACGAGCGCAACCCUUGAUCUUAGUUGCCAGCAUUUAGUUGGGCACUCUAAGGUGACUGCCGGUGACAAACCGGAGGAAGGUGGGGAUGACGUCAAAUCAUCAUACCCCUUAUGACCUGGGCUACACACGUGCUACAAUGGAUGGUACAAAGGGCUGCAAGACCGCGAGGUCAAGCCAAUCCCAUAAAACCAUUCUCAGUUCGGAUUGUAGG
rnacentral:rRNA from 1 species